GUCUGAAUUAAUUGUUUCACGCUUUCGUGAAUCUAAUCAUUAGUUCGCUAUUUUCGGGUUAGGAUAAUUUUGAUAAAAAUUACAACCAGGAAAGCUUUCCAUGUCUGUGCGCUAACGAAUUUCUUGAUGAAGUUAUAGGUGUACACGCUACAAUCUUCACCCAAGGAUCCAUCACUGAUGGAGACCGCAUCACUGGCUUAUGCGACUUUUCGAAAAUUCAACGCCAAGUGAGAAAUCUACAAAUAGUUUAAUACUGCAAAACUGAAUCUGAUCUUAAGGGAGAAGGACAAGAUCGAAGUGGAUUAGUUUUUAUGGACUAUUGUUUUUU